UUUGUUUUGUUUUCCUAGACCUUGAUGACGAUGAGGUUUCAACAAGUUGACGUUAGUAUGACAAGUAACCAUUUGGAAUUAUCUGAUAAAUUUAUGCAAGUCGUGUCAGGUGCAAAUAUAAUUUGCAUAAUCGAGCUCGCCGAAUAACGAAUUUUCGCGUGUUAAAGUGGAAUUAUUACGAUACUACAUUCUAACGUGUUUCUGCUUCAAUUUAUAGUCGCUCCUCCUUCUAAGUAAAUAUUUAUCAAGCGGAUAAGCGUCUUACAAUUGAACAAAUUACGCCUCACAAAGAAAUAAGUCAGAUUAAAAUCACCACGGGAUGUCUGAAGAAGCAUGUGCUAACGAACAAAAUGGCUCGACGGCCGGUCCAAGCAGUUCACAGAAAUUAAAUCUACAUGGCUUUCCAAAAGUCAGAGUUAUGUCCAAAGAAUAAAGGAGGAAGCGAAUAAAAGGAGGACGUCUCAUGGCAAGUUAGGAACUCCUUGACCGUUAAGACCCGUCAUAACUACCAGUAUACGCAGACCGUCACCACUACAAGUAUAAGGGGAACGCUUAUUACCUAGCGCUCACGAUGCUAAAAGUUCAUUUGUAAUCUAUGGCUCUCAACGUUGAAAGUUGUCGUUGUUCCUGUAUUUAUACAAAAACAGAGGCGUUUGACUAGCAUCUUAGCGUUUCCCGGAGAAGGCAAAGUCCGUCAUUAUCAGGGGAGACGCCCUUUCACCUUUAGGAGAAUCUUGUGGAAAGUUCAUUUCAGGCGUCUAAGCGUGUCUUGCAGUUCCUUUGUGACGUGGGGCUCUUACGGAUUUAAUUGUUGACAGACGCUUUUAACCGCUCCUCUAACUAGCACUAUUUCAAAAAAGUGUCUACU